UUGACUCUAAUAGCUCUGAUGGGCUCUAAUUGGUUUUGAUGGGCUCUAAUUAGCUCUAAUUAGCUCUAAUGGGCUCUAAUUAGGUCUAAUGGGUUCUAAUUGGUUCUGAUGGGCUCUGAUGGGCUCUAAUUAGAUCUAAUGGGCUCUAAUUGGUUCUGAUGGACUCUAAUGGGCUGUAAUUAGGUCUAAUGGGCUCUAAUUAAGUCUAAUGGGCUCUAAUUGGUUCUAAUGAGCUCUAAUUAGCUCUAAUGGGAUCUAAUGGGGUCAAAUUAGGUCUAGUGGGCUCUAAUUGGUUGUGAUGGGCUCCAACGGGCUCUAAUUAGGUGUAAUGCGCUCUAAUUGGUUUUGGUGGGCUCUAAUGGGCUCUAAUUAGAUCUAAUGGGCUCUAAUUGGUUCUGAUGGGCUCUAAUUAGCUCUAAUUCGGUCUAAUAGGCUCUAUUUGGUUCUGAUGUUCUCCAACAGGCUCUAAUUAGAUCUAAUGGGCUCUAAUUGGUUCUGAUGGGCUGUAAUGGGCUCUAAUUAGGUCUAAUUAUGUCUAAUGGGCUUUAAUUAGGUCUAACGGUCUCUAAGGGGCUCCAAUGGGCUCUAAUUAGUUCUAAUGGGCUCUAUUUGGUUCUGAUGGACUCUAAUUGGUUCUAAUUGGUUCUGAUGGGCUUGGAUGGGCUCUAAUUAGGUCUAAUGGGCUCUAAUGGGCUCUAAUUAGGUCUAAUGAGCUCUAAUGGGCUCUCAUUAGGUCUAAUGGGCUCUAUUUGGUUCUGAUAGACUUUAAUGGGUUCUAAUUAGGUCUAAUGGGCUCUAAUUGGUUCUGAUGGGCUCUAAUGGGUUCUAAUUAGAUCUAAUGAGCUCCAAUGGGCUCUCAUUAGGUCUAAUGGGCUCUAUUUGGUUCUGAUAGACUUUAAUGGGUUCUAAUUAGG